rnacentral:ribozyme from 15 species
AAUUCUAUUUUCUCUUUUUCCUUUUUUUUUCCCUUUAAGUUUUCUGCUCUAACCUGUUUGAUUUAUAUUCUAUGUGCAGAUAGAAAAAUAUGUUACAUAAUAGAUUCGAAUGGAAAGAAGAUCCAAUAUAUCUUAAAUUAUAUAUAUAUAUAUAUAUA